AUCAAUGCAUGGGAGAGUCAACUAAAGUUGCAUAGGGGUGAAAGGGUUAGAGAGAUAUCUAUUUUAAUACUUUUAUCAUAUGUAAGUUGUUCAAUGGUGUUGGUUGAAAUGUUUGAUGAACAACGAAAUUGUACUGUUAUGACUGAAACAUUGAACACAAUCAUGAUACUCCUAAUCGUAAUAUUUAUUUUGAAAUAGACGUUUGACAGUAGAAUAUUUUAGUCGCCAAAUUCUGCUCAAAAGGGGGCAAAAUGAAAGGGCGAUGGAAGUAAAAAUGUUCCAUAGUUGGGAAGUGUGUUACAUCACACUUUGUACUGGUGGAUUCCUGUUGUAUCUCCCCAUUGCUGUAAGGGUACGUAAGGUAGUGGAAAUUAUUUUCAUUAUCUGGAUUUUAGAUCUCCAUAUUUAUGUUUGGUUUCCACCCUCAUAAAUUAUGGUGGUAAAAUAAGUGGUGUUGAAAUUUAAUAUGAUGACAAUUAAAAUUUGAUAUGAUGACAAAGAAUUUACUAAUUUUACUAAUGUCAUGUGGAGACGAAAGGGUGGUCAGGUACCAGGUACAUUUGUAUUUCUACCUAUUGUUAUCGUGAACUGGUUGAUUCUAUAUUUUGUACAUUUUAGAAGCGGAGAUACAGUAUACCGUUUGUAAUGUGAAUUAGAUUUUUACUUAUAAAAUGAGUCAUAUGUUAUACCUUAAUGUGCUUUCUUUCUGAAAGUAUUCUCUGACUUUAUUCACUAGGCAUAAUUUACAUAUAUUUUAUAGGUUUAGUGAAUUCUUUGUAUCUCGGCUUGAAAAAUACAUGAAAGAGAAGUUUGCUUUGUAAGAGCAUGAUCAAAGAUGAACUGAACAAUGUUUCAUCUAAUGAACCAGGUUAGAAAAAUUACUAGCAAUCAAAAUUAAUCAGAAUGUUUCCAACAUAACAAGUUGAUUCCAUAUGAUAGCGACAAGGGAAGCUCGAAACAUGGAAUUGACAUAUGGUUAAUGACAUAGAAAUGUUUAUCAUUCUCAAAAGUAUAAUUUGAAGAGUGAAUAUAGAAUGAAGUGUUAAAAGAAAAUUUUGUAGUUUAUUUAAUUUGAAAAACAUUACAUUUCCAACUUUGUCAUGCAUGUUAGUAUCAUGAUACGAAAGUUCUUAACUACCACACACAUUUUUACUUUGUAUGUCUCCAGUUUUAUGGCACUGCAUAAUGUUAUAUACUAUGACCACCUCAUCACACUUAUGACACACCUUGUGUUUGUCCUUAUGCAAAUCAUGUGCUACAUAUCUGUUAAGCUACAUACAUAUCACAGGUAUGUUUUUUGCUCACCAAGGCCAGGUAGAGCUUGUGGGAUGGCGCAACAUUUGUCAUCCGUCUGUGUCAUCAACUCUCACUUAAAAAGCCUACUUUUCUUAAAUUGCUUCACACGUUGUCACCAAAUUUGAAAGCGAUGAUUGGAGCAAGACCAUUAUUUCCUAAAUAAAUAAAAUUGAUGCCACAACUUGGAGCAGACGGGUUGGGCCCAACAGGCGAAAUUAGGGGCUUUUGAUUAAAAAGUCUAUCCCUCCAAAAGAUUACAUGAAUUGUUACAAUUUUGGUUUGAGACAACGCUAAGGUUAUAAUUUCUUAAAUAAAUUCAAAUAUUACUAUGUGUGCUUGCUAAACAUGAAAAGACAAAUAACCUCAUGCUACCAUGAUUGCCUCAUGGGUCCUACCAGCCCCAGAUAUUUGACUAACUGUUUGGUCAAUAACCUGGAAACAAUGGAGAUCUCUACCCUAUACAUGUAUUCACAAAUAUUGGGGUCUUAUUCACAUUUACUAUGAAACAUCUUAGGUUUUUUUGACAUGGGAAUAAAUAUUCACAUAUGAAAAGGAAGAGUGUUAGCCCAAAACAGGGUAAUUUGCACGUUUAAGUCUUCAAUACUUAAUUGAUCAUAUUUCAGCCAAACUCAUAUAAGGCAUACUUAGGACCAGGAAUUCAAAUUUUGUAUAAAUGAGGGUAUGUUAAAAUUGUCCACCUUAAUGCCGUGAGGCUGAGACAAGAUUGGGAAAUGUUUGAAAUAUUAUCUCGAAUGAGUAUAUUUUACAGGAUCUCUAGGCCUCAAGUUUUUAAAAUUCUUAUCAUGAUCUUUAAGUGUUAUAGAGUAUUGUUGAAAUUCAAAUUAAUGAACAUUAAUUUGCCUUCACCUCUAUCUACAGUGGUCUGGUCCUAUCAAUGUUGAAAGGCUGGUUAUACCAUUACUACAUCCACAGUUCUCACUUUCUUUCCUGUAACUAAUGCCUUGCCUAGCAACCGGUUUUACAUCAAUUAGUUAACACCUUUCUUUAUCAGUUUUAAAGCUUAAUAAAGGUUUCGUAACCAAUGGGUUAGAGAAAGUUCAGAUGCUCUAGAGUCAAAAAAGUAUCUCUUAUUUUUGUCUUUCAUGAUAAUGGAGUGUGAAACAACAUGAUAUUUUUAGAUAUUCAAUUUGUUGAUAUCCUUUUUGUGUCACGUUCCCUUUGUGUGCUCCCACUUGAUAUGUAGACUGUGUGUUCCUCCUGUCAACCUUCACCAGCUGAUGAAUGCCUUUGAUAGCUUGGUUAUAACAACUUACUGGGUUAAGGAACGUCGUAAUUUAGGAUAAUAUUUACGAUAGACCACAUCUAUUUACGUCCAUGUUUGUUUAGUCAACAUCAAACGAUGUGAGUUGUGACAUGAUUACAGAGAAGUGCUAUAAUGACUUGCUACACAAAUCUUAUUUUUAUCGUAUACCCGCUAGAUUUCAUUCUAUUCUGUCUAUUUUUUGAAAAAUAUAUCAAAUAUUUAAUGUGAACUUUUUGUAUGUAUUUGUAUGCAUAGUAUGCCGAUAUUUUGCCUUUUUCACCUUCAUUGUUAUACUGAUGUGUAUUGGUGUUUUGCUUUCAUGCCUGGUACCAGGUGGGGGUACAAGGACAAUUCCAAAAAACUGUUAAUUAGGAAUAGUAUAAAAGUUCCCUCAUUUAUGAGAAAUAUUUGAAGCCUUUGGAGGCUAACCUCAAGCUGAGUAGUUUAUCUGGUGCAGUAAUAGACAAAUCAUCAAGUGCUGCUGUAAGUUGACAAAAUCAAAUCAACUCGUUUAAUUACCUGUACUUGAUACAAGUGACAGAAUAAGGAAGCAUAAUUGUUAACAGAUUUUUGAGAUAUUUUGUAAUAUAUGUAAUAUUUGUUUAGAUUUAUCAUUGUUAUAAUUAUAUAAUGUUUUUUCAUUUUUCUACUUUUGAGUUAAAAUCAUAAGAACGUCAAAAUGAGAUAACAUAAUAUUCUUAGCAAGACAGAUAAAUUGAUGAGCAAGGGGUAAGAAAUUAGACUCAAGGUCACAGGUCCCCAUUCUUUCUUAACCGAUGAUAUACUUUACUAUUUGUUCCAGUGAAUCACCAUUCCAAACCAGCAGAACCAUAAGAAAUUUCGUCUGAAUAUUUACCUCGGUAUAUGACAGUGUGUCGUCUGAAGGUCGUUUAAGGUAGAAAGAUGGUAAUAAACACCAUGUUGUCCUUUUCCACCCAGGAUCUUGGUUCAGACUGAAGAUGACAGGUUGUUCCUCCCAGUCUAUGGACUGUAGGAGACACUGCUCCGACACUGCUCCUCCCAAAGUCCUUAUAUAGACUGUAAGAGACAUGUUGUUCCUUUAAGGGUUCCAGUCUAGGCUAGGAAACACUGCUCCUUCCAAGGUCCUUAUAUAGACUGUAAGAGACAUGUUGUUCCUUUAAGGGUUCUACUCAAGACUAGGAGACGAUGGUUAUUCCAGGGUCCUAGUUUAGUCUUUAUAGCACACACACACUGCCCCUUCCGGAAUCCUAGUCUAUAGAUUGUAGAAGAUAUAAAACAAACAUCUUGCAAGGGUAAUUUCACCAUACAUUUUUGGCAAUAUUUAACAAUUUCAAAAAGGUAUACAGCAUUCUUUCUGUUGAUACAUGUACUGCCAUUGACAAAAGUGCUGAGGAUGGUUACUGGAAAAGUUGAAAUAUCAUUUCGCACUAAGUAUGGGCCAAGAACUCAUGUAACCAUUGCUAAAAAUACCAAAUCUGUGUGAAAACCUCUCGGAUGAUCAUGUUUACACAGAAAGUUGUGUUAUUUGCACAUAACAAUUGUUAUGCAAACAGAACGAUGUUACGAAAACAUUAUUAUUAAGAAAACAGAUUAGUGCUAUAAAACCAAUGGUGUUAUGAAAACUGAUUGGUGUUAUACACACAAAAUCGUGUUAUAUGCUCAGAAAGAUGUAAGCUGUGUUAUGCUGUGUUUUAUACCCCAAUGGUUUAACACAGUAGUGUGUUAUUUACACGGAAUGGUUGUGCUAUGUACGUACCUACAAUAAAUGAUAUGUAAACAAUACAGGAAGGUGUUAUAUACCUAUGAAUACCAGGUUGUGGUAUGUAUAUAUAAUACUAGUUUUGUAUAGCAGAGGGGACUGAGACAACAUUUACUGCGAUGUAUCAGCAGUUUUAAUGCAAGGUGAACAUAUUUUCUGUCCACUAGGUGAUCCGUCGCCAGAUAUAAUGGUAGAAGGUACACACAAAUAUGCUAUAUGUUACGACUAGAAAGAAAACUGUUAUUCACAUACAGGAUUUUUAUAUACACAGAAAGAAGCUUUUUUUUUUUGUAACACAGGGUUGUAUUAUUUCCACAUGAGGUUGUGUUAUAUUCACGCAAAGUUGUGUUAUUUUUCACACAAGAUUGUGUUAUGGACAAAUGAUAAUUGCAUUAGUUGGUGUUAGUCAUUAAAUAAAUGUAUACCUUGGCUUUUUACGAAUCUACUGUGAUAGAUUAUCACAAAUCUUAAUGUCACCCUGGUAAGAUACUAGCCACUUCCUACUUUCCUACUGUCUUGGCUAGGGAGUAUUCCUGUUUAGCUCCUAUCAUGUCUAAAUUUUUAGGUGGUUCAGCAUAAUUUGAAAGAAGACAUGCAUAACAAUUUGCGUAUAUUUUGUGAUGUUUUUUGUUCAUUCCUUUGAAAGAUAUAUAGAACAAUCUAUAUUGGUACAGGAAAAAGUGUCGUUGAUAAAAGGAAAAACAAAGACAUGUUACUCUUGAUUAACAUGAUCAGAUAUUUUACCAAUGUUUGGCAUAGAAAAGUAGAUUUAGAUAUUCAGAUUUUGUGUAACAAAUUUUUACGAUAAUUUUAGUGCAAUAUUUUGCUUACUUUGUAUAUUGCUGUUGCUUUUCUUACGUGUAUAAUAGGAUGUAGCGUUACUGGAUCGGAGUAAUCCACCUAAUAGAUACACGAACACUACUCAGUGAUUGGACAGAUUGGUCUAAACUGUGGAUUGGAUUGACCCGGAGAAUUUCUUCUGUCUUCACUUUUCCUCCUUAUUACUACCAAUCCAAAAUUACCAGGGUUCUGUUGUGUAUGUGCAUGUGUGUUCGUUAUUAUGUCUUUGUUUGCAAUUGAAAUAAAUAAAUUGUAUUGGUACCCACAUAUCCACCGAUUGUACAAAAGGUGAGAGGGAAAAGUAUCUUUACCAAGUGUCUAACCUUCAGAAAACUAAGAAUACAUUAUUUUGAUUUGUGUCCACGCAUUCACUUUAACAUUCUAACAUUCACCAUUCAUUUUCGUGCUAAAUGAAAGAACUUUACCAAACAUGAACAUUUUUUGCAUCAAAAGUAAUACAUUUUUGUACCCGCACCAAAAAUAUUUGUUUGGUGAAAGGGCUAUACGAUAUAUCUUUUAUUCCCACCUGCUUGUAUUAAGAUGCAAGAUUCCAAGGUUGGUUGUUGGAUAAAUUCAUAUACUUCUUAUUUCGUGUCCUGUGUAAGUUCACAGUUUUAGAUGUCUUUUUGUUCUAUUAGUUAAUUUUGCCUUGUUAGAGUGACCUGCUUUUUGUAGUUUUUGUUAUUUGAAGAAAUUAGUUUGACACAAAAGACGAAAAAAAUAAAAUAAUUUACUAUACCCCAUACUGUGUAUGACCUAAAUAGUACAGCUUUGGUGUUUCAGUAAAAAAAAAAAGGUAUGUUUUGUCAUGAUGGAAAAGUUUUCUAAUCUCCAGUAAAACCCUUCUGCAUUAGAACUUUGUGAUAGACUCCUGGCUUUCACAUUCAUUACAUCAAAUACAAAAUCUGUACAACAGGGUUUUUUGGUGUGUUUUUUGCACAUCUGAUAAAAGAACAUAUAAAUUGACAAUUUAUUGACACCUUAACAUACUUGAAAAUAUUGUGAUUUAAUCUGGGUUAAAUUAUUUCCCAUUUGAUUUAUGAAUGUAUAUUCUUACUGUGAGUACACUACUGUGAUUUGGUGCAAAUAUAUUAAUGUAAGCAGGCUUCACUGUGAUAGCACUCAGUUAAGUUCAUAUUGGACAGUUAAAGUGCUUAAUUCUGGUCAUAUUACACCUAGCGCUACUAUACUCUUACCUACUUAUCAGGGUAUUUAAACUUCUGGCAUCUGAUAUCAGGAAAAAGUCAUUCACAAACUUCGGAAUGAGGACUUGAGAAUUUCUGCUGGAAUCCAAGAUGAAGUCAUCCGGAUACGAAAAUCUCACUUUUUACAUAAAGGACAUUGUGAUUGUUUGAUACUUGAGGGUUUCAUUCACACUAUUUUAUUGUAUUUAUUUUUUAAACAAGAUGGAAUAUAUGAUUACACAUGCACUUUUAAUGCUGAUUUGCACUCUUCUCCGGAAAUGCUGAAGUUUUAUAAUAAAGAGAAGUAUGUGGGAAAAAAAAUUACUUAAGAAUAUUGCAGUUGAAGCAGAAAUUUCGAAGUACACCUAGUUUACCAGUUUUGUUUGAAUGAUUUUCGGUAAUUUUGGUACCAUUCGUGUAAUUUUCAUGGGCCUUGCCUGCUUAUACAUAUUUAUACAAGAGAGAGGAGUGGUACCUGUCCAUUACUCUGCCCCAUCUCCUCUACACAGAGCUAUACACCACAUUGUGUUAUUGAUAUUUAUGUAUUGUGUACUCCGGCCCAGCACGUAAUGCAUAUAUGUUAAAUGUUAAUGUUUCGUCCUUUUUUUGCGGUCAGUCUACUACUUUAAAGUUGUUUUGCUGAAUAAAUUUAGAUUUUAUUUGGA